rnacentral:tRNA from 1 species
GGUUGUGGCUCAGAGGUAGAGUGCUUGCCUACCAUGCAUGGGGCACUGGGUUUGAUCCUCAGCACCA